CUGUAGUGCUGAUCAGAGUGUGUUCAGUCCUUUCAGAGCCACUGACACGCAGCACAAUGAUGAUGGUACUGAUUCUACUGCUGGGGACACUGGGACUCCUCGCUCACCAGUCCUUUGGGCAAAUCGUCCUGACUCAGUCUCCAGGAUCUCAGUCUGUUUCUCCAGGACAAUCUGUUACUCUCACCUGUACAGCCAGUCAGGGUGUUUCCAGUUAUGACCUCCACUGGUACCUGCAGAAACCUGGAGAAGCUCCUAAACUCCUGAUCUAUUCUGCAUCUACUCGUCAGUCUGGGAUUCCAGGUCGUUUCAGUGGCAGUGGAUAUGGUUCACAAUUGACUCUAGAAAUCUCUGGAGUUCAGUCUGAAGAUGCAGGAGAUUAUUACUGUCAGCAGGAAUACAACUUUCCGUACACACAGUGUUAUAGCGCCGUACAAAAACCUCCCUCAGCUGUAGAGGAAGUGCUCUGA